rnacentral:rRNA from 1 species
UACGUAGGGUGCAAGCGUUGUCCGGAAUUAUUGGGCGUAAAGAGCUUGUAGGCGGUUUGUCGCGUCUGCUGUGAAAUUUCGGGGCUCAACCCCGAACUUGCAGUGGGUACGGGCAGACUAGAGUGUGGUAGGGGAGACUGGAAUUCCUGGUGUAGCGGUGAAAAUGCGCAGAUAUCAGGAGGAACACCGAUGGCGAAGGCGCCACUCUGGGCCGGUACUGACGCUGAGGAGCGAAAGCGUGGGGAGCAAACAGG